rnacentral:misc_RNA from 1 species
AAUAAAGCAACUAAGGAAUAAUAAUUUAACAAAAGACACCACAACAAGGAAAUGACAGUCAAAAGGGUGAUAAUUUAGGCCAUAAUAAUGUUACAAUUCCUAUUAUUAAACAGAUUAAAUACCUUAGAUAGAUAUGCAACACAACCCAAUACUACACCAGAUAAAAAAGUUUUGGGUAACUACCAUUUGCCCAGAUAUAAGGUCAAAAUCAAUAGCAAGUCCCCGAAGUUUGGCAGUCAAGUUAAUUGGUCCCUCACAUUUAAG